rnacentral:rRNA from 1 species
GGGUUGUGAGGUUAAGCGACUAAGCGUACACGGUGGAUGCCCUGGCAGUCAGAGGCGAUGAAGGGCGUGCUAAUCUGCGAUAAGCGCCGGUAAGGUGAUAUGAACCGUUAUAACCGGCGAUACCCGAAUGGGGAAACCCAGUGUGAUUCGUCACACUAUCAUUAACUGAAUCCAUAGGUUAAUGAGGCGAACCGGGGGAACUGAAACAUCUAAGUACCCCGAGGAAAAGAAAUCAACCGAGAUUCCCCCAGUAGCGGCGAGCGAACGGGGAGGAGCCCAGAGCCUGAAUCAGCAUGUGUGUUAGUGGAAGCGUCUGGAAAGGCGCGCGAUACAGGGUGACAGCCCCGUACACAAAAGCGCAUGUGCUGUGAGCUCGAUGAGUAGGGCGGGACACGUGGUAUCCUGUCUGAAUAUGGGGGGACCAUCCUCCAAGGCUAAAUACUCCUGACUGACCGAUAGUGAACCAGUACCGUGAGGGAAAGGCGAAAAGAACCCCGGCGAGGGGAGUGAAAAAGAACCUGAAACCGUGUACGUACAAGCAGUGGGAGCACAGGUUUACCUGUGUGACUGCGUACCUUUUGUAUAAUGGGUCAGCGACUUAUAUUCUGUAGCAAGGUUAACCGUAUAGGGGAGCCGUAGGGAAACCGAGUCUUAACCGGGCGUUAAGUUGCAGGGUAUAGACCCGAAACCCGGUGAUCUAGCCAUGGGCAGGUUGAAGGUUGGGUAACACUAACUGGAGGACCGAACCGACUAAUGUUGAAAAAUUAGCGGAUGACCUGUGGCUGGGGGUGAAAGGCCAAUCAAACCGGGAGAUAGCUGGUUCUCCCCGAAAGCUAUUUAGGUAGCGCCUCGUGAAUUCAUCUCCGGGGGUAGAGCACUGUUUCGGCUAGGGGGCCAUCCCGGCUUACCAACCCGAUGCAAACUGCGAAUACCGGAGAAUGUUAUCACGGGAGACACACGGCGGGUGCUAACGUCCGUCGUGAAGAGGGAAACAACCCAGACCGCCAGCUAAGGUCCCAAAGUCAUGGUUAAGUGGGAAACGAUGUGGGAAGGCCCAGACAGCCAGGAUGUUGGCUUAGAAGCAGCCAUCAUUUAAAGAAAGCGUAAUAGCUCACUGGUCGAGUCGGCCUGCGCGGAAGAUGUAACGGGGCUAAACCAUGCACCGAAGCUGCGGCAGCGAACGUAUCACCCAAGACAACUUUACGGAGUUGACGAUUGACGGAGCGAAGCGACGUCAAAGCGUUCAUUAAAGUCGAGUUGGCUUAGGGAUACGUUCGUUGGGUAGGGGAGCGUUCUGUAAGCCUGUGAAGGUGUGUCGUGAGGCAUGCUGGAGGUAUCAGAAGUGCGAAUGCUGACAUAAGUAACGAUAAAGCGGGUGAAAAGCCCGCUCGCCGGAAGACCAAGGGUUCCUGUCCAACGUUAAUCGGGGCAGGGUGAGUCGACCCCUAAGGCGAGGCCGAAAGGCGUAGUCGAUGGGAAACGGGUUAAUAUUCCCGUACUUGGUGUUACUGCGAAGGGGGGACGGAGAAGGCUAUGUUGGCCGGGCGACGGUUGUCCCGGUUUAAGCGUGUAGGUGUGUGUUCCAGGUAAAUCCGGUUCACUUUAACACUGAGGCGUGAUGACGAGGCACUACGGUGCUGAAGCAACAAAUGCCCUGCUUCCAGGAAAAGCCUCUAAGCAUCAGGUAACAUCAAAUCGUACCCCAAACCGACACAGGUGGUCAGGUAGAGAAUACCAAGGCGCUUGAGAGAACUCGGGUGAAGGAACUAGGCAAAAUGGUGCCGUAACUUCGGGAGAAGGCACGCUGACACGUAGGUGAAGUGAUUUACUCAUGGAGCUGAAGUCAGUCGAAGAUACCAGCUGGCUGCAACUGUUUAUUAAAAACACAGCACUGUGCAAACACGAAAGUGGACGUAUACGGUGUGACGCCUGCCCGGUGCCGGAAGGUUAAUUGAUGGGGUCAGCGCAAGCGAAGCUCCUGAUCGAAGCCCCGGUAAACGGCGGCCGUAACUAUAACGGUCCUAAGGUAGCGAAAUUCCUUGUCGGGUAAGUUCCGACCUGCACGAAUGGCGUAAUGAUGGCCAGGCUGUCUCCACCCGAGACUCAGUGAAAUUGAACUCGCUGUGAAGAUGCAGUGUACCCGCGGCAAGACGGAAAGACCCCGUGAACCUUUACUAUAGCUUGACACUGAACAUUGAGCCUUGAUGUGUAGGAUAGGUGGGAGGCUUUGAAGCGUGGACGCCAGUCUGCGUGGAGCCGACCUUGAAAUACCACCCUUUAAUGUUUGAUGUUCUAACGUGGACCCGUGAUCCGGGUUGCGGACAGUGUCUGGUGGGUAGUUUGACUGGGGCGGUCUCCUCCUAAAGAGUAACGGAGGAGCACGAAGGUUGGCUAAUCCUGGUCGGACAUCAGGAGGUUAGUGCAAUGGCAUAAGCCAGCUUGACUGCGAGCGUGACGGCGCGAGCAGGUGCGAAAGCAGGUCAUAGUGAUCCGGUGGUUCUGAAUGGAAGGGCCAUCGCUCAACGGAUAAAAGGUACUCCGGGGAUAACAGGCUGAUACCGCCCAAGAGUUCAUAUCGACGGCGGUGUUUGGCACCUCGAUGUCGGCUCAUCACAUCCUGGGGCUGAAGUAGGUCCCAAGGGUAUGGCUGUUCGCCAUUUAAAGUGGUACGCGAGCUGGGUUUAGAACGUCGUGAGACAGUUCGGUCCCUAUCUGCCGUGGGCGCUGGAGAACUGAGGGGGGCUGCUCCUAGUACGAGAGGACCGGAGUGGACGCAUCACUGGUGUUCGGGUUGUCAUGCCAAUGGCACUGCCCGGUAGCUAAAUGCGGAAGAGAUAAGUGCUGAAAGCAUCUAAGCACGAAACUUGCCCCGAGAUGAGUUCUCCCUGAGACUUAAAGUCUCCUGAAGGAACGUUGAAGACGACGACGUUGAUAGGCCGGGUGUGUAAGCGCAGCGAUGCGUUGAGCUAACCGGUACUAAUGAACCGUGAGGCUUAACCUUACAACGCCGAAG